CAGCAGCAGAUUUCAGAGCUAAGUGACCACGUGUUUAUUCAUGAUGAAGAGACUUUUUCUCAUCCUUUAUCUCAAUGGUCUUAUACUAUUGGACGUAUCCGUCCCGCAAGAGAUUUCACGCAAUUAUUACCUGAUCCUAACAAAGAAGUC